CUGCAAGAGUCUGGAACAACAGAAACCCUCAGUGAUGAACAAGUGGUGAACAUACUGAUGGCUCACAGGAUUAAUAAACAUAGGCAGCUUCCUGCUAACCCAAUCAGAGAGGAGUACCUGAGGAUGGUGACACCUCCUUCCAAAACCACCUGAAGUCUCCAGGAAUCAGUGCGUGGGAUGCAGUCAAGACUUGCUGUCUUUUAUAAGUCAUGCUGCAGUUUAGAGGAACAUCUCUGGGACCAACGGGUUCUGCAGCCACGCCUCCUUUCUGUGUGAUGUCAGAAGAGCAAGACUGACAUCCUCUACAUCAUCGUGGAUAAGUGACUCAUCCCAUGCCAAGCAAACUGCUUUCUUGCAGCAUUUGAUGAGUUAUUCAAAAGACAUUUUGUGUUAUGUCUGUUAUGACCCUGCAUUAAUACAUUUUUAUACAUUUUUGCAUUGUAUAACAUUGAUGUUGGCAAAAUGAAGGAAUCACCUAGAGUGGGGGACUUGAGAGAAAUUUUAUAAGCCUUUUGAUAUUCAAAACUCGUAUGGAAUGUUAAUGAAUGUUUGUUCACUGUACAAAAGUUUAAAAUGUUGGAAAUA